AUUGAACGCUGGCGGCAUGCCUUACACAUGCAAGUCGAACGGCAGCACGGGAGCAAUCCUGGUGGCGAGUGGCGAACGGGUGAGUAAUAUAUCGGAACGUGCCCAGUUGUGGGGGAUAACGUAGCGAAAGCUACGCUAAUACCGCAUACGAUCUAUGGAUGAAAGCGGGGGAUCGCAAGACCUCGCGCGAUUGGAGCGGCCGAUAUCAGAUUAGGUAGUUGGUGAGGUAAAGGCUCACCAAGCCGACGAUCUGUAGCUGGUCUGAGAGGACGACCAGCCACACUGGGACUGAGACACGGCCCAGACUCCUACGGGAGGCAGCAGUGGGGAAUUUUUGGGACAAUGGGCGCAAGCCUGAUCCAGCAAUGCCGCGUGCAGGAUGAAGG
rnacentral:rRNA from 1 species